GGGGAAUUUUCCGCAAUGGGCGAAAGCCUGACGGAGCAAUACCGCGUGAGGGAGGAAGGCUCUUGGGUUGUAAACCUCUUUUCUCAAGGAAGAAAAAAAUGACGGUACUUGAGGAAUAAGCAUCGGCUAACUCCGUGCCAGCAGCCGCGGUAAUACGGAGGAUGCAAGCGUUAUCCGGAAUGAUUGGGCGUAAAGCGUCCGCAGGUGGCUAUGUAAGUCUGCUGUUAAGGAGUCUGGCUCAACCAGAUAAAGGCAGUGGAAACUACAUGGCUAGAGUGCGUUCGGGGCAGAGGGAAUUCCUGGUGUAGCGGUGAAAUGCGUAGAGAUCAGGAAGAACACCGGUGGCGAAAGCGCUCUGCUAGGCCGCAACUGACACUGAGGGACGAAAGCUAGGGGAGCGAAUGGGAUUAGAUACCCCAGUAGUCCUAGCCGUAAACGAUGAAUACUAGGCGUGGCUUGUAUCGACCCGAGCCGUGCCGUAGCUAACGCGUUAAGUAUCCCGCCUGGGGAGUACGCAGGCAACUGUGAAACUCAAAGGAAUUGACGGGGGCCCGCACAAGCGGUGGAGUAUGUGGUUUAAUUCGAUGCAACGCGAAGAACCUUACCAGGACUUGACAUGUCGCGAAUUUCUGUGAAAGCAGAAAGUGCCUUCGGGAGCGCGAACACAGGUGGUGCAUGGCUGUCGUCAGCUCGUGUCGUGAGAUGUUGGGUUAAGUCCCGCAACGAGCGCAACCCUCGUUUUUAGUUGCCAGCAUUAAGUUGGGCACUCUAGAGAGACUGCCGGUGACAAACCGGAGGAAGGUGGGGAUGACGUCAAGUCAGCAUGCCCCUUACGUUCUGGGCUACACACGUACUACAAUGCUACGGACAAAGGGCAGCAAGCAUGCGAAUGCAAGCUAAUCUCAUAAACCGUGGCUCAGUUCAGAUCGCAGGCUGCAACUCGCCUGCGUGAAGGAGGAAUCGCUAGUAAUUGCAGGUCAGCAUACUGCAGUGAAUUCGUUCCCGGGCCUUGUACACACCGCCCGUCACACCAUGGAAGCUGGUAGUGCCCGAAGUCAUUACCCCAACCGCUUGCGGAGGGGGAUGCCUAAGGCAGGACUGGUGACUGGGGUGAAGUCGUAACAAGGUAGCCGUACCGGAAGGUGUGGCUGGAUCACCUCCU
rnacentral:rRNA from 1 species